UCUGGGCCUGAUUCAAGUAAUCCAGGAUAGGUUUGUUCAGACAAGCACAGCCUGUUCCGGAUGACUUGGUUCAGGAACGUU
rnacentral:pre_miRNA from 1 species